rnacentral:rRNA from 1 species
GACAGAGGUUGCAAACGUUGUUCGGAAUUACUGGGCAUAAAGCGCACGUAGGCGGUUCGUUAAGUCAGGUGUGAAAUCCCCCGGCUCAACCGGGGAAUUGCGCCUGAUACUGGCGGGCUAGAGAUCGAUAGGGGUGAGUGGAACUCCAGGUGGAGCGGUGAAAUGCGUAGAUAUCUGGAGGAACACCGGUGGCGAAGGCGACUACCUGGCCUGUUCUUGACGCUGAGGCGCGAAAGCUAGGGGAGCAAACGGG